CUUUGGUUCUGUUAUUUUCAUUGCGACAUAUAUUCUAUUCAUGUAUAAUAUUCUUAGAGGGCAAUGCCCUAGAAUAUUAAUAAACGCUCAGUUAAUCAGUCUCUCUCUCUCUCUCUCUCUCUCUCUGUACUUUUUUUACUUACUUUUCGUAUUGUGUCGAAAGAUUUUUCAUAUAGCCGGUUAUAAAUGCUGACAUGAGUCAUAUUGCAAAUACAAAUGCAUGAGUUACCGCAUGGUGAUCGAGAAUAACUCAACCAGAAUGACGAAACGAUAGUCACCACAAAAGGCACGCGUGCAUUACCGUGACACAUUAUAGACAGGCAUUAUCGUGUUUGAUUUUUCCAAUAAUGAAAUUUGUUUGACAAAAGCUCUUCGUUUAACAAGGAGAUUCGUAUAAUUAACAUAAAAGUGGAAUCGUUAAAACAUCAAAUACAGUUUUAUGCUUAUAAUUUACAAUUCAAGAUAAAUAUGUUUAUCAGAAGUAAACGUGUGGCAUAUUUUAACGAGGCAUUUUAAUAAAUUGCGCAAAUCGCAACAUACGAAUUCAAUGUUGCUUGCGGGGAUACACAACGUUCCGACGUUUUAUAUAUCGUCUGUAAAAAUGGAAAAACAAGCCAAGUUUCGCCGUAAAUAAUAACGCUCUUCAAAAACGCAAAACUGCGACAACAGCGCUCUUUUCUUAAUGCUUCUCAUUCAAAUUACCAAACCGCGAUAUAACAUAGAAGAGAGUCACAAAGUUUUGUCGAGCAUUCGAACAAAAAAGAAAACUGAGUGUGCGGUCGAUAGACAGCGCAGGUUUAAACGUUCUCCGCGCAUCUUUACCCCGCCUCCUUCUCCUCCACCACCACUCUUUUUAUUUCUCUUUUUUUCUCUGUAAACAUUUUCCUCCUUUCAUUAAGCCCCUUUCUUUUCACGGCUCCGGAUCGCCUUCGCCAUUCACGAAUUUUUUUUAGGUACGAGAACCGACUCUCGAGCGCGUCAAAAAGCCACUGGAGCCUCCGCGAAUCCAUUUGCAAAACGGAUGAACGUGCCCUCCAACAUCGCGGGGGCCGCACGUCGAGUGUACACUUUUGACAAAGCGGACAAAGCGAGGCGGGCGAAAUGUAUUCUUACUCGCCAAGUAUGGAGAGAUUCGCGCGUCUCUCGCGAAAAGUAUGUACAUGAGUUUCAUGCACUUUCGAUCGAUUUCGUCGUCAGAAAUUAAACCUAGAAUGAAAGUUAAUGUACAACUGAAGAUAAGAACGCGUCUCAGUUCUUAAACGUACGAAUAGUUUUUACUAAAAAUAAAAUUAUAUUAAAAACAAGAAAAACGAACGUACUUCUUAUGGAGAUAAGUAAAAGAGAAUAAUAAAGAACAAGUUAAAAAACAAAUAAGGUAAACCUUUGCUAAGUAAUCAAAUAAGAAACUUAAAGUUAAAUUGUGUAAUUUUCUUUUGUGUUUAUUAUAUGACCUGGUUUAUCUUGGCUAUGAUACGGACCAUUCGUAACAUUUACGUUUUAAAAGUGAACAGUUUUCCAUUUUACUUUUUUGUUUUAACUUUUUAUUUGUUACUAUUUAUACCUUAAUUUAUUUUUAUUUCAAUGACGCAUACUUUUAUACAAGCUUAUUCCUUUGCCUUUAUAUUGUACAUGAAAGUACGAGCUGCGGAAAAUUUUGCAUAAAAAGAAUUUUGCUGAAAAUACAGAUCUGAAAAUAAUUAUGUUGAACCAUUUAAAAAACCUGUAGCGGAUGUUUAAUUUGGUUGUUAGAAUAUCAAAGCUGUUUGCAGCAACAUGCUUUCUACGUAAUCAUUUUGAUAGUCCAAUAUAAAAUUAUUUUUUGACCUGUAUCUAAAUUUUUUUUAAUGGCUGCAGCCAAAUUGUUUUUUCCAUGUGGGAAUAAUUAACAAUUCUCUGGUUUACGGUCUUGCUGAAAAAUCUGGUUUUUCGAAUAUAUAAUAAAUCUCGUAUAUAUGCAAAUAUUUUAUUAAAUAUUAAUAUUAUUUAAAUUAUUUGCGAGUCAAUUCUUUGUCACUUUAUCAGGGCUAAGAAGUAACGAGUUACAAUAAGUAACGCCGUUAUUCGUUACUCAUUUUUUUAUAACUUGGUAAUAAUGUUACAAUUUCCGAUAAUAGUAAUUAUAAAGCCAGAAUUGGAAUAGUCACUUUUGACAAUCAAUUCGUUAUGUGUUGUUCAUUAAAAAAUAGUAACCUGUAACUUUACCCGUUACGUAACGAACAAACUAACGAGUUAUUUUUUUCAAUGAAUGCAUCACGAAUUCUUGUAAAAAGUGAUUGUGCCCCAAUCCCGGUGUAACUACUAUGAAAAAUUGUGACGUCAUGCAUUGUGAAAUCAUUAUUAUAAAAAAAAUUCAAAUAACGAUAAAGUAACGACUUCCCAUUCCUGUUCUGUAUUACGCCUCUCUUUGUUUUUUUAAACAUUGGCGAGUCUACGUAAUUUUCUUGUCAAAUAAGACAUUUAAUCAUCCAGUACCAAGUAUCUUUGAGAUUUAAAAACGAAAGAAUUUGUUUGGAAACAAACAAGAUGAGUACGAGGCCCGGCGUAUGUACCCCCGAUAUCAUCAAUGAUUUAUAGUCUCUACCAGCAGGAGCGCUAGUCUAUAAAAUCGCACUAUACAGCUUAACGCGUUGUCACCCUAAAGCCAACCCCCUCGAUGAAGUGGCCAUAAAGUAAUCGCGGUGCCGAGCGGCAAAUUAUAUCGCUUUUCGAUGUUAAACACUCAACACGCUCAAUCCGAUCGUUUCAUCGUUCAUACAAAGUCGGCGCGUUCGCGACGUAAUUCACCUUCUCGCCGGCAUUCGGAACGAUUCAAUUAAAGUGCGUUCUAAUUGCGCCGGCUUAUACGACAGUCUCGCCCAAGAGAGUAGUAAAAGGAGGACCCGAGCGGUCGCUGAAAUAUCCAAAAGGAUCGCAAGGGGAGAGGAGAAUCGCUCGCUCGUGGACGUCUUCCACCUGCGCGGGACGAUAUAUCAUUACAAACGAGAGAGAACUCGACCUUUUUAUUGCCUCGCCGAGGCGACGAUCGCCGCGCACGAGCAAAAUGAGUCUACGGUAAUUAUUACUGUCCAUAAGUGUCGCUGCUCAUGAGUCCUUUAAUCUUAUCCUUAACGGAAAUUGCCUUACAUCAUUCUCGUUUUAACUUUUAUAGAUAAAGAAGAUAAAAUAUGUGACAAAUUUGUUUUUGAAUAGGUGACAAAAUUACUUUUGGUUUCAAACACAGGUCUUGAAAUGAACUAGAACGGUAUCACAUAAAUUAAAUUAAAAAUUAAUUUUAGUAAUACCGAUGCUAAUUGUAAGUAGAAUAUCUCUAAAAUUCUCUCCACUCUAAAAAAAAGUGAAAAAUCUGUUGCGAAAAAUAAACUCUGACUGAGGUAAUAUUUUUCGCAACAGAUCUUUACUUUCUAUAAUUCAAUUUGUUGUGUAUAAAUCACGGUCUUCAAUCUACAUUAUAAAACAUACACUACAGUAUUAUAUUGCGCAACCUUUUCUCUCCGCGAUGUUCGCGGAGCAAAUAAAGUCUAUCGAUAAUCUCAAACACAAUGAAACUUCGAUUUGUUCGCUGAAUAAUUUAUUCCCUCUCACACAAUUUAUUCUCUGAUCUCAAAUUAUUGUUCCGCCGAUGUUACGUUGCGUUAAGGUUCUCGUCUGCACAGCUGAUAUCGCGGGGAUUUUAACGAGUUCCGCACUCGGCUCGGGGUACAUUCCGAAAUUGCACAACUUCGACGGAAGAUUAAACUUGCGACUUUGCGUAAUGAAACAGUCGAGAAUCACGCGAGCCUGGGAAACGAUAAGAUAAGGAUCGCUCCAACAAUGAUCGGGGCGAUUGUCCUAAACGCGGCCAAGAAUAUUCGAGGAUUUUCCGAUGUACGGUGGAAUUUUAUCGAGGGUCUUGAGAGAAACUCCAUCGAGAGUUUUACGACAGCAUAAGCAACAAUACUGCCAUAUGGUCGGAAUAUCGAUACUUCUGCUUCAGUAUUCCAAUACUUUAUAAAUGCUCUGAUAUUUUGAAAGUAUAAUCUAUCAAUAUCGUAGAAAGAGAGAGAGAGAGAGAGAGAGAGAGAAGCAGAAGAAAGGAGGAAGAAGAAAAAGGGAAUCUUAAUAUUGAAUAUAUACGCCACGAUACACGAUAAAAGAGAACAGCAGUCUGCUUUCUUUCACGGAAGAUAUAAAUUAUUAAUAUCGCAAACAAUAAUAAUCUUCAAGUAUCUUUUGAAUUUAUUUUUAUUAUUACAAGAUAUUCCUCAGAAAUUCUCUCUUUAAGGACUUAGAAAAGCAAUUUUGAUAAGUGCCGACGUUGGAAAUCAUUGAUAUUUAUUUUAUGUGCAUAUAUAUAUACACAGCAUGUUCUUUCGAUAUUCAUAUCGCUCUUGAUCUCUGUCUUGAUCUCUGCGCUCGUGCGAGGCGAGAAUAACGAAAUUAACAACGCUGACGGCUACCCCGGUGAAAGGUUUGCGAUGCAAAUACGCACGAUAUAUCCGCGGCGAGCGUAAUUAGGCGUUACAACGCCGUUGCAGGUUGGCGGCUUCUUUUCGGCUCCCUUAAAGCAGAGCCUUACAAAGCAACGCCGGUAUCGUCCUUAUCGUCGGUUGUAAAUAUCCGAUUCAUCCGCCGGGAAAAUUAAGGCGCGAUAAAGCUCGUGCGCUAUCGCGCGCCGAAUCCGAGCUGUGCGGAGCAAAGCUGCGUGCGCGAAUACCUAAUCGCGAACGCGAGAAAUACUCGCGCGCGUCAUAAAUAACGUGUGUGCGCGUGUGUACGCGGCGCAAAUUUAACGAGAGCGCGCCGGCAUACACGCCGGAAGCUACGCACGAUAGUCGCAAAAUGCCUGACAGAUAAAACGUCGGGGAUGCGGUUUUCGCAGCGCUUCUUUUCUUUUCAACGCGGCGCGGCGCGGGUCUCGGGUCUCGCGUCCCGCGGGGCGUGGGUGCGUGGGUGCGUGGACGUUCCAAGUUCAAACGCGCGCUCUGUCAUUCGCGUGAGUCGACUUUUUUUCUCGUGAUUCAUCCGCGUCCGGCGUCCGUGUUCUCGACAGAGAUCCGAUGGAUGCAGAAUACGCGCCCCCGGACGAACGCGCGAUGAUCGUCCGUCGCCGCCGUCGCUGCCGCCGCUUUCACGUCGACGAUGCGAGCCCUAACCCAGGACACUCGGGCGACUUGGCGCAUUGUCGUCACGACAUUUAUGGUAAUACGUUAUGCGCAUUCCUACGCUGCCACGGCAUUUCGUUCGCGUGUGCGUAUUGUGACACGGCAACGACACGUAUGAGUCUCUUGACAAAAGGAAAAGUAUCUUAAAGCCAGUGGGUUUUGAAAAGGGCACUCACGAUUAACACGUUGAUUACCGCAAUAGUCAUUCAUAUUCCGAUUUUAUUUUUCAAUGGAAUCCUGGAUUUCUAAUGUGACCGGCUCUUAUUGAAAUCUUUUGACGCACUUGUGAGAAGUUCAAGCUUCAAGGCAACAUUACCUGAUACCUCAGUUUUUGAGAUGCAUCAUAUUUUUUGUAUACAAGUUAUAUCUUUAUUACUGCAUUUCGAUGUAGAUUAUUAUUAUUAUCAUUAUUAUUAUUAGUAGUAGUAAUAGUAGUAGUAGUAGUAGUAGUAGUAGUAGUAGUAGUAGUAGUAGUAGUAAAAUGGUUCUCGGUUUUUUAAAAGAAAAUAUUUCGAAAAUUACAUUAGCAAACAAAGUCGCAUAAUAAAUAGUUCGCAUUAAUAAAAAAGGCAAAAUGUAUUAAUUAUUAGCAAGCAAAUGUGACAUUUUCUACGAUUGUAAAUAAACAUUUAAUGAAUAUAAACAAACUUAA
rnacentral:lncRNA from 13 species